GACGAACGCUGGCGGCGUGCCUAAUACAUGCAAGUUGAGCGCUGAAGGUUGGUACUUGUACCAACUGGAUGAGCAGCGAACGGGUGAGUAACGCGUGGGGAAUCUGCCUUUGAGCGGGGGACAACAUUUGGAAACGAAUGCUAAUACCGCAUAAAAACUUUAAACACAAGUUUUAAGUUUGAAAGAUGCAAUUGCAUCACUCAAAGAUGAUCCCGCGUUGUAUUAGCUAGUUGGUGAGGUAAAGGCUCACCAAGGCGAUGAUACAUAGCCGACCUGAGAGGGUGAGCGGCGACAUUGGGCCUGAGACACGGCCCAAACUCCUACGGGAGGCAGCAGUAGGGAAUCUUCGGCAAUGGACGAAAGUCUGACCGAGCAACGCCGCGUGAGUGAAGAAGGUUUUCGGAUCGUAAAACUCUGUUGGUAGAGAAGAACGUUGGUGAGAGUGGAAAGCUCAUCAAGUGACGGUAACUACCCAGAAAGGGACGGCUAACUACGUG
rnacentral:rRNA from 1 species